rnacentral:tRNA from 1 species
GGGGGCUUAGCUCAGUUGGGAGAGCGCUUGAAUGGCAUUCAAGAGGUCGUCGGUUCGAACCCGAUAGUCUCCA